AACUGAUUCGAGAAGAGUGGGGACUGUGGCUGCGAGGUUUUACCACUUCGCAGUUGCGGAAACCAUUUUUAUCGCAUUGGUUUGAACCGGGUAAAAGUCGUAACAAGGUAGCUGUAGGUGAACCUGCAGCUGGAUCAUCG
rnacentral:ncRNA from 1 species